CCGCACCUUGGUUUUUAAAUUUUGUGUUAUUUUUCUUAAAGAUGGGUCCCAAAUUAUACAAGCUUCAGACUCCACAAAGCCUGUGGAAAUGUCCUGCCUGCCAUCCCCGACUCCUCCACUGGGUUUUCUUGUCAAGGAAAAGACCUCACCAACCUCGUUCAUGCAAAAACUCUAGGGGUGACUUUCUACCUCGUCCUCUGCCUUGGCCCCCACCUUUGCAUCCUGUCGGGUCUGCCCCCAAAGUCCCCUCCAAGCCGUGCGUUUCCUUCUACCCCGCGUCACUGCCCGGGUCAAGGCCGUGUGGUCUCUCGCCUGGUUCCUGUGAAAGCUGCCUAGAAAACUUCCACGGCUGUCCCUGCUGGUGUGUCCAGCUCAGGAGGUCACAAGUCUGACCGUGCUCUGCCCAUUGCCCCUGGAAAGGGGCCGAACCCCUAGUGCCAGCUGAAAAGCCCUGUGAGACUGGCCCGUGUGCUCCUCUCCGCACAACCCUCAGCCAGGCUGCUCUUGCCACUCCCCCUCCACGUUUGUCAUCUUCAGGGUGCUCCCCACAAGUGCCAUGCCCUCAGGAGAGUCCUCCCCAGACUAGGCCGAGUGCCCCGGGCUACACUGCCUGGUUACUCUGUGAGCACUAGACUCGAUUGCAAGGAUAUCAUUGCUUGCUGUCUGCACAGCCAUGACCAGCCCCACACAGGCUGACGGGCUUGUCUCCAUCCACCCCAGAGCCCACCGCUGCCGUGGCUACAGCAGGCACUCGGCAGACCUGGUAGGGAGAUGGGUGGACGGCUGGGUGACAAUGGGUAAUGGAGCUCUUCUCAUCUGGGCCAAAACGCCAGGCGUGCAGAGGGGCCGGGGCCUCGGUGACCCAAGUGUGUGAAACGAAAAUGUCUGAAAGUGCCUCUCGGCACAUCUGACAAGCAGUCCCCAAACUCAGCCUUUCUCAGGGCUGGGAACAUAAGAGAAGGGCAUCUACUGGCAGAGCAAAAGAACCGGAGACCCUUGGACUCAACUCGCUGAGUGUUCGCUGUGCAUGUGCAACUGUCCGUGCAUCUGUGAACAUUUGUGUGAGUGUACUGAGGCGGGGCGUAUGAGGGUACCGAGGCAGGGCGUGUGAGUGUACUGAGGUGGGACAUGUGAGUGUACCAAGACAAAGAGCGUGAGUGUACCGAGGCAGGCGUGUGAGUGUACUGAGUGUGCGUGUGAGUGUACCGAGGCGGUGUGUAAGUGUACCAAGGCAGGGUGUGUGAGUGUACCGAGGCAGGGUGUGUGAGUGUACCAAGACGAGGUGUGUGAGUGUACUGAGACGGGGUGUAUGAGUGUACUGACACUGUGUGAGUGUACCAAGCUGGUAUGAGUGUACCGAGACAUGGUUUGUGAGUGUACCAAGAUGAGGAGUGUGAGUGUACCGAGGCAAGGUGUGUGAGUGUACUGAGGUGGGGUGUGUGAGUGUACUGAGGCGGGUUGUGUGAGUGUACCGAGUAGGCAUGAGUGUACCGAGGCAGGGUGAGUGAGUGUGACGAGUCAGGGUGAGUGUACUGAGGCAGUGUGUGUGAGUGUAAUGGGGCAGUGUGUGUGAGUGUACCAAAGCGGGGUGUGUGAGUGUACCGAGGUGGGGUGUGCGAGUGUACUGAGGUGGGGUGUGUGAGUGUACCGAGGUGGGGUGUGUGAGUGUACCGAGGUGGGGUGUGCGAGUUUACCGAGGUGGUGCUUGUGAGUGUACCGAGGCAGUGUGUGUGGGUAUGUGAGUGUACCAAGGCAGUGUGAGAGUACCAAGACGAUUUGUGUGAGUGUUCCGAGGCAGGGUGUGUAAGUGUACCGAGGCGGGGUGUGUGAGUGUACUGCGGCAGUGUGUGUGAGUGUAACGAGGUGGUGUGUGUGAGUGUACCAAGGUGGUGUGUGUGAGUGUACCAAGGCGGGUUUUGUGAAUGUACCAAGGUGGGGCGUGUGAGUGGACAAAGGCAGGGUAUCUGAGUGGACUGAGGUAGUGUGUGUGAGUGGACCAAGGCGCGAUGUGGGAGUGUACCGGUGCAGGGUGUGUGAGUGGACUGAGGUGGGGUGUGUGAAUGUAUCGAGGCAGUCUGAGUGUACCAAGGCAAAGUGUGUGAGUAUACUGAAGUGGGGUAUGGCAGUGUACCGAGGUGAUGUGAGUGUACUGAGGCGGGUGUGUGAGCGUACUGAAGCAAAGUGUGUGAGUAUACCAAGGCAGUGUAUGAGUGUACCAAGGCAAUGUGUGUGAGCGUACCAAGGUGGUAUGUAUGAGUGUACACAGGCAAGGCAUGCGAGUGUACCAAGGCAAGUCGUGUGAGUGUACCGAGGAAAGGUGUGUGAGUGUACCGAGGCGGGUUGUGUGAGUGUACUGAGGUGGUAUGUGUAUGUGUAUUGAGGCGGUGUGUGUGAGUAUACCAAGGUUGGGUGUGCAAGUGUACCGAGGCAGUGCGUGUGAGUGUAGCGAGGCAGGUUGUAUGAGUGUACCAAGGUGGGUUGUGUGAGUAUACCAAGGUGGGGUGUGUGAAUGUACCGAGGUGGUGUGUGUGGGUGUAUGUGGAUGUGUGAGUGUUCUGAGGCGGGGUGUAUGAAUGUGUCGAGGUGGUGUAUGUGAAGGUAUCAAGGUGGGGAUGUGUGAGUGUACAGAGAGGCAAGGUGUGUGUGUACCAAGGUGGUGUGAGUGUACCAAGACAAGGUGUGUGAAUGUACUCAGAUGGAGUGUGUGAGUGUACUGAGAUGGUGUGAGUAUAACGAGGUGGUGUGGUGUGUGAAUGUACAGAGGCAUGUUUUCUGAGUGUACUGAGUUGGGGUGUGUGAAUGUACCAAGGCAAUGCGAGUGUACCAAGGCGGUGUGUGUGAGUGUACUGAGGCAGGGUGUGUGAGUGUACCAAGGUGGGGUGUGUGAGUGUACCAAGGUGGGGUGUGUAAGUGUACCGAGAUGGUGUGUGAGUGUACCAAGGAGGGGUGUGUGAGUGUACCAAGGUGGAGUGAUUAUACUGAGGCAGUGUGAGUGUACCGAGGCGGUGUGUGAGUGUACUGAGGCAGUAUGUAUGAGUGUACCAAGGCAGGUUAUGUGAGUGUACCAUGAUUCUGUGAGUGUACCGAGGCGGCGUGUGUGUGUACCGAGAUGGUAUGUGUGAGCCUACCGAGGCGGUAUGUGUGCAUGUACCGAGGCGGGGUGUGUGAGUGUACAGAGGCGGGUUGUGAGUGUACAGAGGCAGGGUGUGAGUGUUUUGAGGCAGUGUAAGUGUAAUGAGAGGUGGUGUGUGAGUGCGAGGCAGGAUGAGUGUACCGAGGCAGGGUAUGUGAGUGUACCAAGGCAGUGUGAGUGUAAUGAGGUGGAGUGAGU
rnacentral:lncRNA from 1 species